AUGAACGCUGGCGGCGUGCCUAAUACAUGCCAGUAGAACGCUGAAGGCAGGAGCUUGCUCUUUCCGGAUGAGUUGCGAACGGGUGAGUAACGCGUAGGUAACCUGCCUGGUAGCGGGGGAUAACUAUUGGAAACGAUAGCUAAUACCGCAUAACAGUAGAUGUUGCAUGAUAUCUACUUAAAAGGUGCAAUUGCACCACUACCAGAUGGACCUGCGUUGUAUUAGCUAGUUGGUGAGGUAACGGCUCACCAAGGCGACGAUACAUAGCCGACCUGAGAGGGUGAUCGGCCACACUGGGACUGAGACACGGCCCAGACUCCUACGGGAGGCAGCAGUAGGGAAUCUUCGGCAAUGGACGGAAGUCUGACCGAGCAACGCCGCGUGAGUGAAGAAGGGUUUCGGAUCGUAAAGCUCUGUUGUAAGAGAAGAACGAGUGUGAGAGUGGAAAGUUCACACUGUGACGGUAUCUUACCAGAAAGGGACGGCUAACUACGUG
rnacentral:rRNA from 1 species